CCUACGGGAGGCAGCAGUGGGGAAUAUUGCACAAUGGGGGAAACCCUGAUGCAGCGACGCCGCGUGAGUGAAGAAGUAUUUCGGUAUGUAAAGCUCUAUCAGCAGGGAAGAAAUAAAGUCCUUCGGACUUUGGACGGUACCUGACUAAGAAGCCCCGGCUAACUACGUGCCAGCAGCCGCGGUAAUACGUAGGGGGCAAGCGUUAUCCGGAUUUACUGGGUGUAAAGGGAGCGUAGACGGCAGCGCAAGUCUGGAGUGAAAUCCCAUGGCUUAACCAUGGAACUGCUGUGGAAACUGUGCGGCUGGAGUGCAGGAGAGGUAAGCGGAAUUCGUAGUGUAGCGGUGAAAUGCGUAGAUAGUAGGAGGAACACCGGUGGCGAAGGCGGCUUACUGGACUGUAACUGACGUUGAGGCUCGAAAGCGUGGGGAGCAAACAGGAUUAGAUACCCUUGUAGUC
rnacentral:rRNA from 1 species